CAGUGUAUUUACACCCUUCCUACUACACUUAAGAGCAGAAUUUCCCAUUAUUAUAAGUUUUUAAUUUUUUUCAGACCUUCUUCUUUCCAUCUAUGCCCUAUAAUAACACAAAUCCACCCCACAUACAUCCCCAAGAAUUUUUAAGAAAAAACCUCUAUUUAUAAACAGGCACUACUUGAAAUAAGGGUAAAAUUAGUAGUCUGUAACCUUCUAGGCGGAUAAUUCUACUUUCACUUUAAACGGUGGGUUGAAAAGAGCAUGCUGCAUCUUUGAUGUAAAAUAUCUCGAAAAAGAAGCAGGGACCCUAUUGCAAAUUUGGCCUUGUUGGAAAGGAUGGCAGGUGCCAGAGUGUAUCCCGACCCAUUUCAAGGCUAGCAGCAGAUGUCAUGAUGGACCUUUAAAAUCUUUCACAUGUGUACUUUCAUGAACCAUAUACAUUAUAUGAUUACAAAGUCUUACCAGUUAUGGGUUGCUAUCAAGGAAGCAACCGGGGAAGUCACUUCUGCGUACUGCACUUACAUGGGGUGGGGGGUGUUAGUAUGUUUCAGUCUGCAGUACUACAUUUGGAAAUAAACAAUACAAUAUAA